CAGUAGCCGCGGUAAUACAGAGGGUGCGAGCGUUAAUAGGAUUUACUGGGCGUAAAGCGUGCGUAGGCGGCUUUUUAAGUCGGAUGUGAAAUCCCUGAGCUUAACUUAGGAAUUGCAUUCGAUACUGGGAAGCUAGAGUAUGGGAGAGGAUGGUAGAAUUCCAGGUGUAGCGGUGAAAUGCGUAGAGAUCUGGAGGAAUACCGAUGGCGAAGGCAGCCAUCUGGCCUAAUACUGACGCUGAGGUACGAAAGCAUGGGGAGCAAACAGGAUUAGAUACCCCCGUAGUCCCUGUCUCUUAUAC
rnacentral:rRNA from 1 species